rnacentral:misc_RNA from 1 species
AAGUCGUAACAAGGUUUCCGUAGGUGAACCUGCGGAAGGAUCAUUACCGAGAGACGGGGUCUAACCGGCCCCAACUCUUCACCCGUGUAUACCUUACCAUUGUUGCUUUGGCGGGCCGUCGGGUCACUCCGCGGGAGGGUUCGCCCUCUCCCCGUGCCUGCCAGAGGCCCCAAAUAUUCUGUUAUCAGUGUCGUCCGAGAACAAAACAAUAACUAAAACUUUCAACAACGGAUCUCUUGGUUCCA